rnacentral:rRNA from 1 species
UACGUAGGGUGCGAGCGUUUAAUCGGAAUUACUGGGCGUAAAGCGUGCGCAGGCGGCGCGUUAAGACAGGUGUGAAAGCCCCGAGCUUAACUUGGGAAUUGCGCUUGUGACUGGCGUGCUGGAGUGUGGCAGAGGGAGGUGGAAUUCCACGUGUAGCAGUGAAAUGCGUAGAGAUGCGGAGGAACACCGAUGGCGAAGGCAGCCCCCUGGGCCAAUACUGACGCUCAGGCACGAAAGCGUGGGGAGCAAACAGG